rnacentral:rRNA from 1 species
GACGAACGCUGGCGGCGUGCUUAACACAUGCAAGUCGAGCGGUAAGGCCCUUUCGGGGGUACACGAGCGGCGAACGGGUGAGUAACACGUGGGUGACCUGCCCUCAGCUCUGGGAUAAGCCUGGGAAACCGGGUCUAAUACUGGAUAUGACUCCAUGACGCAUGUUGUGGGGUGGAAAGCCUUGUGCGGCUGAGGAUGGGCCCGCGGCCUAUCAGCUUGUUGGUGGGGUGAUGGCCUACCAAGGCGACGACGGGUAGCCGGCCUGAGAGGGCGACCGGCCACACUGGGACUGAGACACGGCCCAGACUCCUACGGGAGGGCAGCAGUGGGGAAUCUUGCGCAAUGGGCGAAAGCCUGACGCAGCGACGCCGCGUGAGGGAUGACGG